rnacentral:rRNA from 1 species
GACGAACGCUGGCGGCGUGCCUAAUACAUGCAAGUAGAACGCUGAAGGGAGAGCUUGCUCUUCUGGAUGAGUUGCGAACGGGUGAGUAACGCGUAGGUAACCUGCCUGGUAGCGGGGGAUAACUAUUGGAAACGAUAGCUAAUACCGCAUAACAUUGACUAUUGCAUGAUAGUCAAUUGAAAGGUGCAAUUGCACUACUACCAGAUGGACCUGCGUUGUAUUAGCUAGUUGGUGGGGUAACGGCUCACCAAGGCGACGAUACAUAGCCGACCUGAGAGGGUGAUCGGCCACACUGGGACUGAGACACGGCCCAGACUCCUACGGGAGGCAGCAGUAGGGAAUCUUCGGCAAUGGACGGGAAGUCUGACCGAGCAAACGCCGCGCGAGUGAAGAAAGGUUUUUCGGAUCGUAAAAGCUCUG